rnacentral:pre_miRNA from 1 species
CAGUGCCCCUUCCUCCAUCUGCUCGACUGCAACGUGACAGCCGAGUGAGGGCCUCGGGGUGACGC